rnacentral:lncRNA from 1 species
AUGUUGAAUACAAAUAAAGAGAGUAGAAAUUUUCACCUUGUACCUGGGUACCACAAGAGGCAUCAUAAAGGAUGUGUGAACCUCCUUGGGGAAGAAAUCCCAUUCACUCCCAUUAGCUGGCUGUCCUGGGAAGAAACCUGGCCCGAAGAAAGAAGUGAAUUAUUUCUAUUGAAAUCUACUGAGACGGUACAGAGGUAAGCAGAACCUUUGGUGAAUUUUUACAAAGUGAACAUCCGCAGUUCUCACCAGCAGCUUCGAAGCCUUUUCAGGUGCUCUGUCACUCAGCCUUCUCUCUCACAAAGGUAAGCACGCUUCUGACUUCUAUCACCACAGCUUAGUUUUGCCUGAUUCUAAAGUUUACAUAAAGGAAUCAUGCAGUCCAUACUGAUUUGUGUCUAAUUUCUUUUUGACUGACCUUAUGAUGCGAGAUUUCUUCACAAAGUGUUUUGCUCAUUUUAAUGAGUAAAUAUUAUUGACUCUGUAAGCAUGUCCCAAUACUUACUUAUUUUAAUAUUGCUGGAAAUUUAUGAUGUUUCCAGUCUGAAACUUUUAGAAUUAAUGCUACUUUCAACAGUUUUACAAGGGUGUUUCAUGAGUAUGUGUGUACCUUUCUGCUGAUCAUGUAUCACAGGAUGGG